UACGGGGGGAGCAAGCGUUGUUCGGAUUUACUGGGCGUAAAGGGCGCGUAGGCGGCCACCGCAAGUCGACUGUGAAAUCUCCGGGCUUAACUCGGAAAGGUCAGCCGAUACUGCGGGGCUAGAGUGCAGAAGGGGCAACUGGAAUUCUCGGUGUAGCGGUGAAAUGCGUAGAUAUCGAGAGGAACACCGGUGGCGAAGGCGGCAUCCUGGACCGGCAUUGACGCUGAGGCGCGAAAGCCAGGGGAGCAAACGGG
rnacentral:rRNA from 1 species